rnacentral:rRNA from 1 species
UACGACUACAUAUCAGGCAUAUCAAUAAGCGGAGGAAAAGAAACUAACAAGGAUUCCCUUAGUAACGGCGAGUGAAGCGGGAAGAGCUCAAAUUUGAAAUCUUCAAGGUUUUACCUUGACGAAUUGUAGUUUAAAGAAGUGUUUUCUGUUGAAGUUUUGGUAAAAGUUCUUUGGAAUAGGACAUCAUAGAGGGUGAGAAUCCCGUAUUUGACCGUUACUUUCCAGCUGUGUGAUACACUUUCAAAGAGUCGGAUUGUUUGGGAAUGCAGUCCAAGAUGGGUGGUAAAUUUCAUCUAAAGCUAAAUAUUGGCGAGAGACCGAUAGCGAACAAGUACCGUGAGGGAAAGAUGAAAAGAACUUUGAAAAGAGAGUUAAACAGUACGUGAAAUUGUCAAAAGGGAAGCGUUUGACACCAGUGUUGUUUAGUUGAAAAUCAAUUCAAUAGUUUUUGAUUCUAAGUAGUAUUGACUUCAUCAGCUUGCUGCUUUCUUCUCAGAAAUUAUUGAAUGCACUUUUCAGUUAACAAGUCAACAUCAAUUUCUUUUGUUGUAAAAGGGUAAGAGGAAGGUGGCUUGCGCUUCGGCUCAAGUGUUUAUAGCCUUUUAUCUCUGCAAUCGGAGAGAUUGAGGUCUGCAGCGUAGAUCCUUCGGGGUUAGAUACAUUGGUGCUAAGCUAUAGCCUUGUAUAGACAACUUGUUGACUAUGCUCAGUCAUGUAGCUUACUCGCUGAUGCUAUUUUACCUACGCUUAGGAUGUUGAGCGCAUGUCUCUCUCU